GGGUGAGUAAUGUAUCGGAACGUGCCCAGUCGUGGGGGAUAACUGCUCGAAAGAGCAGCUAAUACCGCAUACGACCUGAGGGUGAAAGCGGGGGAUCGCAAGACCUCGCGCGAUUGGAGCGGCCGAUAUCAGAUUAGGUAGUUGGUGAGGUAAAGGCUCACCAAGCCGACGAUCUGUAGCUGGUCUGAGAGGACGACCAGCCACACUGGGACUGAGACACGGCCCAGACUCCUACGGGAGGCAGCAGUGGGGAAUUUUGGACAAUGGGCGCAAGCCUGAUCCAGCCAUGCCGCGUGCGGGAAGAAGGCCUUCGGGUUGUAAACCGCUUUUGUCAGGGAAGAAAAGGUUCUGGCUAAUACCUGGGACUCAUGACGGUACCUGAAGAAUAAGCACCGGCUAACUACGUGCCAGCAGCCGCGGUAAUACGUAGGGUGCAAGCGUUAAUCGGAAUUACUGGGCGUAAAGCGUGCGCAGGCGGUUAUGCAAGACAGAGGUGAAAUCCCCGGGCUCAACCUGGGAACUGCCUUUGUGACUGCAUGGCUAGAGUACGGUAGAGGGGGAUGGAAUUCCGCGUGUAGCAGUGAAAUGCGUAGAUAUGCGGAGGAACACCGAUGGCGAAGGCAAUCCCCUGGACCUGUACUGACGCUCAUGCACGA
rnacentral:rRNA from 1 species